rnacentral:rRNA from 1 species
UCAAAUUUGAAAUCUGGCGUCUUUCAGGCGUCCGAGUUGUAAUCUAUAGAGGCGUUUUCCGCGCCGGACCGCGUCCAAGUCUCUUGGAAUAGAGUAUCAAAGAGGGUGACAAUCCCGUACUUGACGCGACAACCGGUGCUCUGUGAUACGUUCUCAAUGAGUCGAGUUGUUUGGGAAUGCAGCUCUAAAUGGGUGGUAAAUUCCAUCUAAGGCUAAAUAUUGGCGAGAGACCGAUAGCGAACAAGUACCGUGAGGGAAAGAUGAAAAGCACUUUGGAAAGAGAGUUAAACAGCACGUGAAAUUGUUAAAAGGGAAACGAUUGAAGUCAGUCGUGUGGGAAGUAUUCAGCCGUCUCUGGCGGUGUAUUUGCUUCUCACGGGUCAACAUCAGUUUGAUCCGGUAGAAAAAGGCGGGAAGAAGGUGGCACCCUCGGGUGUGUUAUAGCUUCCUGUCAUAUGUGCCGGACCAGACUGAGGAACGCAGCUUGCAGCAAUGCCGGGGUUCGCCCACGUACAAGCUUAGGAUGUUGACAUAAUGGCUUUAAACGACCCGUCUUG